AUUGAACCCUGGCGGCAGGCCUAACACAUGCAAGUCGAACGAGUGGCGGACGGGUGAGUAAUUUCUGGGCCACUCCCUGAUGGUGGGGUAUAACUACUGGCAACGGUCUCUAAUCCCGCAUUCCAUCGGAUGUGCCUAGAUGGGAUUAGCUUGUAGGUGGGGUAACGGCUCACCUAGGCCACGAUCCCGAUCCGGUCUGAGAGGAUGACCGGCCACACUGGAACUGAGACACGGUCCAGACUCCUACGGGAGGCAGCAGUGGGGAAUAUUGCACAAUGGGCGAAAGCCUGAUGAAGCAAUGCCGCGUGUGUGAAGAAGGCCUUCGGGUUGUAAAGCACUGUCAGCGGGGAGGCGGUACCCGAAGAAGAAGCAACGGCUAACUACGUGCCAGCAGCCGCGGUAAUUC
rnacentral:rRNA from 1 species